GACACGGCCCAGACUCCUACGGGAGGCAGCAGUAGGGAAUUUUCGGCAAUGGGCGAAAGCCUGACCGAGCAAUGCCGCGUGAAUGAAGAAAUUCUUCGGAAUGUAAAAUUCUGUGGUGAGGGAAGAAAGGUAUUAGAAGGAAAUGGCUAAUAUUUGACGGUACCUUACUAGAAAGCCCCGGCUAACUAUGUGCCAGCAGCCGCGGUAAUACAUAGGGGGCAAGCGUUAUCCGGAAUUAUUGGGCGUAAAGCGUGCGUAGGCGGCCACUUAAGUCUGUCGUGAAAGCCCACAGCUUAACUGUGGAGGGUCGAUGGAAACUGAGAGGCUUGAAUCUAGGAGAGGUAAGUGGAAUUCCAUGUGUAGCGGUAAAAUGCGUAGAUAUAUGGAGGAACACCAGUGGCGAAGGCGGCUUACUGGUCUAGAAUUGACGCUGAUGCACGAAAGCGUGGGUAGCAAACAGGAUUAGAUACCCUGGUAGUCCACGCCGUAAACGAUGAGCACUAAGUGUCGGACGUAAGUUCGGUGCUGAAGUUAACGCAUUAAGUGCUCCGCCUGGGGAGUACGGUCGCAAGACUGAAACUCAAAGGAAUUGACGGGGACUCGCACAAGCGGUGGAGCAUGUGGUUUAAUUCGACGCAACGCGAAAAACCUUACCAGGCCUUGACAUACCGAUGACGUCUUUAGAGAUAGAGAGUUACCUUCGGGUACAUCGGAUACAGGUGGUGCAUGGUUGUCGUCAGCUCGUGUCGUGAGAUGUUGGGUUAAGUCCCGCAACGAGCGCAACCCCUGUUCUUAGUUGCCAGCACGUAGAGGUGGGAACUCUAAGAAGACUGCCGGUGAUAAAUCGGAGGAAGGUGGGGACGACGUCAAAUCAUCAUGCCCUUUAUGUCCUGGGCUACACACGUACUACAAUGGCUAUAACAAAGGGAAGCAAAACCGCGAGGUGGAGCAAAACCCAAAAAAGUAGUCUCAGUUCGGAUUGAAGGCUGAAAUUCGCCUUCAUGAAGCCGGAAUUGCUAGUAAUGGCAGGUCAGCAUACUGCCGUGAAUACGUUCCCGGGCCUUGUACACACCGCCCGUCACACCAUGAGAGUUGGGAACACCCGAAGUCCGUAGUCUAACCGCAAGGAGGGCGCGGCCGAAGGUGGGCCUGAUAAUUGGGGUGAAGUCGUAACAAGGUAGCCGUAUCGGAAGGUGCGGCUG
rnacentral:rRNA from 1 species